rnacentral:misc_RNA from 1 species
ACUUGCUGUAGGUGUAAUACAUUUUCGAUAUAGUGCACUUUUAUAGCAUUUCGGGCUCGCAAUAGCAACUUUCAUUAAAUUCUACAUGUCGUAGAGGAACAGUGAUGUUAGUUAAAUAAAUGUAGUGCGCGAAGGGUAAACGUGUUCAGUCAGUGUGUUGUGUGUCAUCGUGUUGAGACCAUCGGUGCGCCAUUUAGCUCGUCGGAUAAAAAACAAGGAAUGUGUCGAUUGUCAGUCAGUUAGUUUCUUCGGGAUUAGUGUAUCAGUUCGUAAUGGAGUGACAUCGGAAUUACUCAGCAAUGGAAAAUAUAAGUAAUAUUCCAAGGGAAAGGAAGUUUAAUGGUCGGCAAAGAGGAACGCACUGUGGUCUGUGGAUGUGGUUUGUGCUAAUCCAUAGUUUAAUCAGUUUACCAUGCCUACCCGCCACCUGUCUAGGCAUUCAAAAUAUUCCUGUGUAUAUUCGUCCAGAGGGAAUGCUGCUUGUUAACUAUAGUGAACCACUGGAGAUGUUUUGUACUGAUGAAACAGCCUCCUCAGCUGAUCUGAAUUUUCUUAUAGGCAAGGAUGUUAUUCCUUCUGAAGCUGUCAAUUCGACAACCAUUAAAUUAUACAUUGACAAGCCUAAAAAGCAAUUGAAUACUUAUACCUGUAAAAAUAAGAAAACUAACAACAAUUGCUUUGCUAGAGUGUUAGUUGAUUCUCCCCCUGAGAAUGUAACAGACUUUACAUGCAUAUCGCAAAAUCUGGAAGUAUUGAAAUGUACUUGGACACAACCAAACAAUAUUAGUAAUACUAAUUACAGUCUGUCAUUUUUAAUUCAUGGUGUUCCCGGAGAGCCAUGUACAGUAGUACGAAUUAAUAACACAAGGUCUUGUAUGUGGAAUACAUUUAGUCAGCCAAGAUACCGCCCAAUGGAAAAAGAAUAUUUAUUCAACCUCACAGCUUGUAAUCGAUUUGGCUGCAAUGUGCAAUUUAUAAAAAUAGAUCAUUUUUCAAUUGUAAAACCUAAUCCACCUAAAAAAUUAAUAUCUGUGUAUAAUUAUACUCAUAGUGUGCUGCUGCAAUGGACCAUAGAUAUGAACCUAAACCUACUCCCAGAUGGUGUCGACCACAGAAUAGAAUAUCAGAUUGCCAAAAUUGACAAUAUGGAUUAUUUCAGAAGUGUUGAUGUGUCCAGUUUGCCAGCUAAAAAUAGAACAUAUAGAUUUCUCCUGACCAACUUACCAUAUGCUCAUAUGCAGUAUGAGGUAAGAAUAUAUAUUAAGUGCAAAACUACAGCAAAAGAAGGUAUCUGGUCUGAUUUUACAUAUAAGUUUAUUUAUACCACCAGUGAAAGGCCAAAUAGGCCACCUGAUACCAUAGUUGGUGCAUUUGGGCAGGCUGUAUUUAAUACUAAAAGGUUGAUAUAUAUUUAUUGGAAACAGUUGGAAGAGUAUGAGGAAGCAGGAACAAAUUUUACAUAUAAAGUAGUUGCUACACCAUAUAAGCAAAAUUAUCAAACAAUUUUUGCUGAUAAAAAUAAAAGCUUGAGUUAUGUUGUUUUGAAAAAUGCAUCACUAGAUGCUAUAGAUGUAUCUAUUUGGUCUAUGAAUGACAAUGGCUCAUCAUUCAAUAGCACCUACCUAUAUAUCCCUCCCGAAGUGAACACAAGGCCUAAAGUAACAUCAUUUACUAAACUUGCUUAUGAAAACGGCACAUACAAAUUAUCAUGGGGUGGAGUACAAAAUAUAGACAAUUAUACUCUCUUUUGGUGUAUUCAUAAUACUACAGGAAUUUGUGCAGGAAGAAUGAAUUUUACAGUGCUUAAUCCUGGUAAGACCACUCAUGUAAUAAACUUACCAAAGGAGAACAGGUAUCAAUUUGCAAUAUCUGCUAAUAGUGGGAAGAAGACAAGUGGGAUGGUUUGGGCUAUCUGUGACAUAUCUAAAGAUACUAUUCAAAUGUAUGGAUUUCCUGUAAAAAUGGACCGUGAUGCACCAGGACCAACAUAUGUUAAAAUAAAAUGGACUAUGGACUGUACACUGCAAGAUGGUGUGAUUACUGGGUAUCGAAUUUCAUAUUGUCCAGUUCUAGCUACAACUAAUCUUUGUAAAAACCAAAUUAAAAAUCAAACUACUAUUAAUAUAACUGAUCCAAAACAGAUGGCAAUAAAUAUAACAAACUUAGAGCCAUACACAACUUAUUUAUUUACGUUGGCAAUGAAUACGACAUAUGGACUCAAGACUAUUGAAAAUGCUUCUACUGAAGUAACUACAGUUGAAGAUACUCCCACAAGCCCUGUAAAUAUCACUAUUUCUGAAAUUGAAUACAAUUCAAUGUUUAUAUCGUAUGAUCCGCCAGUUCAUAAGAAUGGAAUCAUUGGAAAAUAUGUGAUUAAUAAUUAUGGUGAACCAUUUCUUGUUGACAAUGUAUCUGAAAAGGAUAAAGAUGGUUCAAGAAGGCAUGUAAAAUUAGCUCAAUUGACUGGAUUCACUAACUACUCAUGGACUGUGCAAGCUUGCAAUACUGCUAUCAGAAGUUGCUCAAAAGUAAAACCAAAUGAUGCUAUAUUUGUUAGAACAAAGAUUGGUCCACCUAGUAAAUUAAAAAGUCCCACUGUUAAGAGUAGACCUGACAUUGUUAAAUGGGAACCUCCUGAAAUUCCUGGUGGCAUUGUUACUUCUUAUCAAAUACUCAGAGUGAAGGAUGGAAGUGGUGUGUCUGAGAUAUUCAACACAACAAAUUUGGAUUAUUCAUUAGUGCAUUGUGAUGGUGGAAUUACUGGAGAAUCAUAUAGAGUUAGAGCUGUGAAUUAUGAUGAAGAUGAAUAUUAUGGAACAUUAACUGACAGCGUAAAAGUGCAACUACCUCACAGAAAUAAUAAUAUUGUUUUGGAACAUCCAGGUGAAUGGAGCGAUCCUAGUGCAGUGGCUUGUGGAGGUAAAGAUGGAUUAAUGAUGGUUUUUAUAUUAAUAGCAGUAUUUAUGGUAGUGGGCUUGAUGUAUGGUUCAUUAAAAUGUUACAAAAGGUACCAAAAGAGGGAAGAUAUUAAACCAGUCCUGCCUAAUGGAUUAGGUGUUCCUGAAAAGGACAUUUCUAAAUAUGCUUUUGGAGGUUGGAAUCCUUCUAACAAAGAUGAAAAGCCCUCAUCUGAUGAAAUGUUGCUGUUACCAAACAGUAGAACUACUGUUUCCACUUCAGAUCUAAAGCAAAAAGAAAAUGACAAUUGUGCUUCAAGUGACCACACAGAUAGUACUGCUCUUUCGGAUAUGUCACGUGCCCCAGUAGAUAGACAAGUCUCAACUUCAGACGAUGGCUCAAAUUCAUCGCUUCGUUUAGAAGUUGAAACAACACGAGCCUCAGAAAAGAAUACAAACCAAGACUAUGAGGAUUUAUCUAAUUACGACACGGAAGCAUCGCGAGAUGCUUCGCCAUACUUUGGUGAAAAAUCCUUUAAGAAAAGUUCAGAUAGUGGAUAUGUGCAGCAGCCGGUAAACCCCGUGUCAGGAUACGUUCAAUCUGCGUCAAUGCCUAUCAAAACCUCACUACCAAAACCGUCACUCCACAAUACUAAUUCGAGCUACGUUAUGGCGUCUCUUUCGCCACCUAUCUUUACGACUGGGGUGCCUCAACCCAGCGCCACGAGUCACGCUCCGGUGUCGUCAGGAUAUGUACGACCCGAAGAAGCUCAGAUGAAAACGGGAUUAAGUUUCCCCAAACUAGGACCAUCACCAACAAAAAUGUUUGGCCCAGAAAGCUUGCCGACAAUGCCUACCUUGCCUUCGCCUGCGAAACAUGGCGCCGACAGCAGUUAUAUUCAGCUGCAAUCACUCGAUACCUUGCCUAGUCAUAAACAACCUGUACGCAACACAGUGCCAUUAAAGCCGCAAGCCUCUAGCGGUUAUGUAAGCCCAGGAGAUGCUGUAAUUAACAAACAUCUUAAUAAUAUGUUAUUGGGUGGUCAGUUAGCUGAAGAAUCAGCAAUACUAGAUCCCACAAUGUCACCCGACGCUUAUUGCCGAUUUUCGUGGAGUACCGAUCCCACUAAUGAUAAUUUACAUUCGCUGCUCACUGAUUCGCAGAGAAUAAACUCGUUGAACAAGUGACUACUUGAACUCAAUUAAGUGAUAUGAUUGUUAAAAUAUAUAUUAGGGAAAUAUUAAACUUGAACUGAACUGUAAAUAUUAAAUUUUAAGAGCUUUAUCACGCAGUGCUAUAAAAUAUGGGACAUAAUAUUAUUUCACACAAGAAUGUGGAUGUGUCUAGUGAUUGUUCUUGUGCCUUAUUAAUUUAUUUUAGGACAGUUUUAAGAAGCUCAGUAGGAAUUAAUUUAUGCGCAUGAAUGGUAAAAAUGGAGGGACUUUAUAAGAUAAAUAUAGUAUCGAGUGAUUUGAGCACAGAAGAAACUAUUCUACAAAUAGCAGACACGCUUGACAACCUUAACGGGGUAGUUGAUGAUGUGUUUUAUCGACUAAUGUGCAGAAUCAAUCAGAACAUGGACAAAACUGCUAAAUUAAAAGAUAGGAUGGAAAUUGCCAAAACUAAAGUUGACAAGUUAACUGGUUUGCAAAAGGCGAUAAAAGUAUUUUCGAGUGCAAAAUACCCAGCUUCCAUAACGCAAGAAAAUUAUGAAUCAGUAUUUGGUUUCGAAGGGUAUAAGUACAAACCUAAAAAAGUGACGCUGAGUGGAAAAGCUCAGGGGCUGCUUUCUGAUAAAGGAAUACAGGAAAAACUUCAUUUCUACCACGUGAAAGUCGCGGAUACUGCGAACCCGAAACCAAAACAGGACUAUAGACUAAACGCUGUGAUUGACAACAUAGAAACUGUCGGGGAAUUGCUUAUUUUUAACACUGAUGAAAGUCCUUAUCUCGGUACAUCCAAUAAGUUAUCGACUUAUGUACCAACAGU